rnacentral:lncRNA from 1 species
GGCUUUCUAGGUGUGCAGCAUGGAAGAGUGUUUCUUCAGCAUCGGCAGGAAUUUGGCCUCUAAGGGUUUUGAACAGGGCUUUGGCUGGGUCAGAAUCGUUGACUAGUUGAGUUGUGUCUUGAUGAAGUAUGGCCGAUAGCUCUUCCAGCUUAGCUCUGGUUUCUGCCGAUACAGUUCCAACUGCCCGAGAGGAGCUUGCUUCCUCGCCUUCUUCUUCGAAGAUAUCAAUGGCGAAGGAGAAUAAGCUGUUGGGAGAAUCUUGUUCCUGAAAAUGAAGAUGAAAUAAGUCAGUUUUAUGGUCAAAACUUCGGCAGACGAUACUGGUGGAAAAUUGGAUGACUUACUUGCUUCAAGGCGAUUUCUUGCCUUUGACUCAAAGAUGCCGAUGGAGCUACAGGUUGAUCGGCAAAUGUUGCCGAUGGAACGAUAUCGCCUGAAAGAAGACAGGAAGGAUUAUGAGACUAAAUGAGAAUAAGUUUAUCGGCGGAAGUAUUGUUGAGAUAUGUUACCCGGAGGAGAGACAACAGCUGCCUGAAUCGGGGAAACCGCCGAUGAUAUAACUGGACCUGCCGGGCCAGUUGUUUGUUCACCUACGUCAGCUGAUGUACCUUCCAUUUGAGGUUCUUCCUGCUGAGGUUCUUCCAUCUGUGGUGCUUCCUGUAUUGGUUGGGGAGAUGGUGCUUGCUGUGUCUGGACUUCUGGAGAAGAAGGGGAAGAUUCCACCGGGAUUGGAGACACCGGAGGAGGAGGAGGAGUUGCCACUUUCUGGCGCUUUGUUCCAGCCUUAGCACCUUGGAUGCCCUUCCUCUUUGGCUGGCUAGACUGGGGGGCAUCGGCACCUUGGCGUUUGGCUUUUGCCGAUGCACCAGUUUGCUGCAACAACAAAAAGGAGUUUAUGAGCAUAGAUAACCGAUACAAAGAUAGUCAGCAUAAAUGAAAAAGGUUUUAACAGAUUACCUUGAAAGCUUGCGCCAGAGUGGAAGCAGUUACCGUUGGUGAUGUCUGAGUUUUCCUGGUGGUAACUUUCUUGAGGCGCGCACCCCGGUGCACGAUGGAAGCCAGAGUGGGAGCAUUAUGGCCGAUUGAGGAGAUCGGGCCUGAUGGGAAUAAGUCGAUCGGCUUGCCACUCCUGCUAACCGAUGGGGGGGUGUUGUCAAUCUGCAAAAGGAAUACAGGGGUAAGUUACCGAUGGGAAUAGUAUUGGAAAAUGAGACAUCGGUUUAAAAUACUUACAGUGUCAUCAGGGACUUCGUAUUCGGGGUCGAUCAUGCCGCGGUAUGAGAGGGCCGAUCUGCAGAAUAGAUUCUCUUUCCAUUUUGCCCACCAUAGCUUGUAUGCCUGAGUGAUAAAGGCAGCUGGAACCCAUUCUGACAGAUCUACAUCUGUAUCGGCAUUUGGUGAUAGCUGGGCUACUCGAGUCCACUCGAGGAGGUUGGCGAUGGGUUCUCUGGGCUUUAUUACAUCGGCAUAAGGAAGUGCAAUCGGCAAUUGGCCGAAAGCUAGCUGGCGAGCUAAUGCCGAUGGAUUAUAAAAUUCAUAGGUUUGGGGAGAGGUUUUCGUGCUACCGAAGAAAUUCACUGGUAUGGCUCUGGGAGUCACAAUUGCCAUCAUCACCUCAUUAUCCCUGUCGAGAGCUUCAUCAAAUGGAUUGAAGGUCAGAGGGAGCAUGCUGUCUGGGUCGUCAUAAGCCAGCCAUGGUCGUUCAUCUCUGGCCAGACCCUCAUACAGAGUCUCGAAGAAUCGGCCGAUCUGAUCCGGAUUGUUCCCUGAACCGGGUAAGACUAUAACGGCUUCACCAAAGUUCAAGGGGGCACGCGUUGCCGAUUCCUCUUCACCUAACACAUGAUUCUCAGCUAUAUCUCUUGGGAAGUGCUGUGAGAACAAGUUGAAAUCAAGGCGCUUAUGCAGGUGCAGAUUGAGCCACAUAUUAAUAAACCACCAGGGGCCUCCCAAGUUGCCGAUGGAUUGGCCAAGCAGGAGUUUCUGGGCUACCUGAUGAAGAAGGUGGUAAACAGCGCCGAGCAAAUAUCGGCCGAGAGGAAAUUGGCCGCCGCUAGCCAGUCUUUCUGCUGCCGAUAGAUAGACAGAAGUCGGUCCUGCCGAUCGACCACAGAAUACAAACUUGUCCAGCCACAUGUUCAGAAAGGUGGUUUGCUCCUUUAUGGUGACAGGCCCUCUCCCGCGGUACUUCUGGAUGUACCCUGACCAACCGCCGAUAGCGCGAGUCUCCACUUUGGCACUGGGGGCGGUAUCAAAAAAGUGGGUGCUAUCGGCAGAAGAUAUAUCUAGCCCAGUAAGCAUGGCUACAUCGGCAAGGGUAGGAGAAGCAGGGCCGUGGCCAAAAACAAAAGCAUUGAGAGUGUGUGACCAAAAGUAGGAUGCAGCUAUCAGCAAUGACUCGUUCCUGUGCAUAUCGGCAAUGGAUAGCCUAAUGCAUUGAGCUAACUUCCUCUCACCCCAUUGAACUUCAUAAGAAUUACUGACCCUCAAGAACCAAUCUUUCCACCCUACAGUAGGGCUGGGCCAAGAGCGAAAGGUGUCUUUCCACAGAUCUAAAGAAAAGUUUUCAGCUCUAAAGGGAAUCCUGUUGGUUUCUGCAUUGAUAAGGUCGGUUGGAUCUGGAUCCCCUAGAGGGCCGAGGCACUGAAGGUGUGGUUGAUCGGUAGGGAUGACAAUUUUGUUGGACAACUCCUAGUGUUUUGGGGAAUAAAAAUACGAAGGAAAAGGAAAAGAAAAAUAUUCGGUAAGAUGAAUCGCGGAUGAACAGGAAUGCGAGAAAAAGGUACAGCAGAUGAGAUGGAAGUCUGACCUCAGGGACGACGAAGCCAAUGGCCAUCUUGUCGUGAAAAGGAUGUUGGAGGGCACCGGAGUUGAUGAAGAGGAGUGCUUGUCGGAGAUCUUGAAGGUUGUAAAUGGCGCCGCCGCUGGAAAAGCAAAGUUGGAUAGUAGAAUGGUGUAAUGGGGGAGGAGUACCCAAGAAGGAACUAUUUAUAGGACAAGAUGGGCAAGGGCAAAUCCGACUUAUCUCUUUGCCGCAUCCGAGAAGCCCGAGGAUACUCAGGUGGAUAUGGUAACUGUUCGCACGGUAAUCCAGGGAUUGUGCAGGUGAUUUGACAGGAAGCGGUCAUUAUCUAAAGAUAUUUUACUGUGCGCAAUCUCCUGGUCGGUCCAUCGGCGAUAUUCUAUAACGGUCAUCUUGCCGAUGGGCGGAUAGACGGGGGGUAACCGUUUUUUGCGAAUAUCCUGGUCAGAGCAUCGGCAGAUCUUUGUAACGGUAUUGUUGCCGAUGUACGACCAAGAAAGAUGCCCGUUUAGGAAGUUGGGGAUUUCGAGGAAUCUGCGGAGGAUUAGGAUCAGAGUUGUCCAGAUUGAGGUUGUCGGUUACCAGAUUAGGAGCAUUAAUUGCGGAGAAGGCAUCAUUACUGCAGAGAAUUUCGGAGCAUUAAUAGUUUUAUACUCCGAAACUGGGGGGCAUGUGUUGACACCAUUUUUGGGCACGUGUCCAGGAUGGCAGGAUAGGGUGGCAGUACGAUGCGGGUUGCUGAUGAGGAUGGUUGCCGAUGAGGGAGAGGUUGAAUGUGACUAAGUCCACAGGCAAUAAUAUGGUGCCGAUGACUGGGUAAAAAGGUCUGCCAAUGACUAUGGCAAGGGGAUUGCCGAUGACACGAAGGGGGAGUCCGGAAGCUGCCAGCUGUCAUGUGGAGGAGUUUCGGUUUGUCACGAAGGAUAGUUUUAUUAUUUCCUUAGUUAUUUGCAUCGUUUUGUAUACGGAUUCCGUGUAAUUUGGAAUUUGAAUUCUAAUCGUGUCUGGUCGUAGCUCUUUGAGCAGGGUAUAAAUAUAAACCCUAGGACCUUGUAAUCAAGAAUCAAGAAAUCAAAAAAACACACGUUUUUACUCAUAUUCCAGCAUCUACUUUUCGACGACUUCGUCAUAUUUUUUCUUUUUAUUACGAGUUCUUAGGAAUUCGUCGACUUAAGCUCGGCGUGUUCUCGAGUUCCGCGUGAGUACCUCUUAGCCGUGACAUCCGGGCGCAUCGCUGUUGUCAGGACUAAAGUAUUCGAGUUAUCACCUUUGCCGAUAGCAAGGUCAAAUCGGCUGGCACGCCUUAACGUUUGAAUCGGGUAUUAGACCUUUGUGUUUGCAGAUCAGUUUUGCAUCAACAGGAGGAGAUAAAACGGAAUGGGGUCUAGAGCAAUCGGAGGCAUUCAGACAACUCAAAAGCUAUAUUGCGACCAAUCUGGUGGUAACUAUGCCCGAGCCAGACAUUCCCUUACUGUUGUACGUGGCUGCCUCCGAACACGCAGUCAGUGCUGUCUUGGUGCAUGAAACAAAUGACCAUAGGGGAAUGGUGCAAAGACCAGUCUACUAUGUGUUCGAAGCUUUAUCAGGAGCAAAGUUGAACUACACAGAAAUAGAAAAAAUCACAUACGCAGUUCUAUCAACAUCGAGGAAGCUCAAACAUUACUUCCAAAGUCAUGAGAUCAAAGUACCCACAUCACAGCCUUUGGGUGUUAUCCUUAGGAACAAGGAGGCCUCUGGACGUAUAGGGAAAUGUGCAGCCGAGCUAUCUCAGCUCGACAUCACCUAUGUCCCAAGAACCUCCAUCAAGUCGCAGGCUUUGGCUGAUUUCAUGGCAGAUUGGACACCUUCGAACAAAGAAGAGAAGAAGGUAGUCGACCAACCUUGGACACUGUAUACAGAUGGUGCCUGGGGGCAAUCAGGAGCUAGAGCGGCAGCAGUGCUGAUCACACCAUCAGGCCUCAAGCUAAAAUACGCCGCGAGACUCAAAUUCAAAGCAAUGAACAACAUAGCCGAAUACGAAGGACUCGUCCUCGGGCUGAACAAAGCAAAGGCUUCAGGAGCAAAAACCCUGCUCAUUAAAACAGACUCCCAGGUGGUAGCAGGGUAGGUGGAGAAGGAAUACUUGACUCACAGUGCAGAAUUAGCAAAGUACUUGGCUAUAGUAAGAGGACUAGAAAGAAGGUUCAAGGGAUUUACUCUACAACACAUCCCAAGAGCCGAAAACUACGAAGUCCUCAACAGCUGCCAACAACCUAUCCUUACCAGGAGGAACCUUCUACCAAGUCCUCAGCACACCCGCAACUGAUUCACUACCAAAGGUUUUCCGCUCAGUCCUAUUGACAGAAGGCGAAGACUGGAGACAGGCAAUAGUAGAUUCGCUGAAUGGCAAAACGACCAUGGAAGAUGAGGCAAUAACGAGAAGGAUGGAGGCAAGAGGAAGGAACUACACCAUCAUUGAUGAAACCUUGUACAAGAGAGGUGUAGUUCAACCUCUGCUGAAAUGCAUAUCACAAACCAAGGGCAGAGAGCUCCUACAAGAGAUACAUUCAGAGGUAUGCGGCUCGCACAUCGGCCCGCGUGCAUUGUCAGCCAAGCACUAAGACAGGGCUUCUACUGGCCAACCCACACCAAAGAUGCAGAGGUGAUAGUAAAAACCUGUGGAGCAUGCCAGACCUUCUCACCAAUUCAGUCGGGACCUUCGGCACCAACCCAGCUUAUAUCACCAUCGUGGCUGUUGCAAAGAUGGGGAAUGGACCUGAUAGGACCGCUGCCAACUGCUCAGGGAGGAAACAAAUUCGCUGUCGUAGCCAUUGAAUACUUGACAAGAUGGAUCGAAGCGAAGCCACUGGCAACCAUAACCUCAGAAACAGUCAAGAAUUUUUUCUGGCAGAACAUAGUUUGCAGAUUUGGAGUCCCAAGCUUGCUCACAGUUGACAAUGAGAAGCAAUUUGAUUCAGACAAAUUCAAAGAGUUUUGCUGUUACAUAGGAACCAAGAUCGCUUUCGCGUCUGUCUACCACCCAGAGUCAAACCGAGCAGUAGAGAGAGCGAAUAGAAUAAUAUUCUCCGUGAUCUCGAAAACACUGCUCAACCUACGAAAGGGAAAAUGGGUCGAGGAGCUACCUAGAGUUGUGUGGUCUCACAACACAACGGUUUCAAGAGCAACUGGUUUCACACAAACUCUUGUACGGGGAAGAGGCAAUGCUGCCCGAAGAAAUCAAACACCAAAGCCUACGCUUCAUGAAGUAGCAGUUGGCCGAGGAUGAAGACUACUGCAAGGAAACUCUUGAAUCAACAAGAUUAGAAGCAGUGGAGAAUAUCACCAAGUACCAGCAAGAAAUUAAAAAGUGGAGAGACCGCAAGUUAGUGCGAAAGAACAUUUAGGAUGGGGACUUAGUUAUCAGGAAAAAGGGAGAUCACCCAAGCACUGGGAAAUUGCAACCCAAGUGGGAAGAACCUUACACAGCGAUGCAAGGACGAACCUCAAAGACCUAGAAGGAAGAACCUAGAAGGAAGAACCUCCACCCACACAUGGAACGUCGACAAUCUACGAAGAUUCUACAUUUAAAUGUAAGGACGACCCUCGCAGAAUAAGCGAAAGCGCCCGUAUUCUUUAGAUCCACUUCUUUUUUCCUUUUUCUCUGCCUUUUUGCAAACCAAGGUCUGCACUCGUUUCCUCACAGGGGUACUCCUAGUGGAGGUGAGGUUUUUAACAAGGCAGAACCUAUGUAAAAACCUCUGAGAUAUAAAGAGAACUUUCCCCAGGAACGAAGCUCAAAAGUCAAAAAACAGCUAGCAACGGAGCGGUAUUAUUCGACCUAGCGUCACGCGAACACAAGGACCCUCCGCAGCUUACAGCCGAAGGCUAAGAAAGCUCGGAACAUCCUUAACGGUGAAAAAACACCACUUCCUUAGCAAAAGACCUGGCCAAGAGCCGGACAGCAAGGAGAACAUGGUCAAAAGUGAAAAAGCCCUGUCCACAUCAGGCAUCACAACAUGACCAGAAAGGAUAAAACAAUCAAACCUGGCAAAGACCUGAAAGACAAUCAGGCAUCAGGAGUCAUCUAACCUCCGCCAAAAGGCGACGAAGGUAUCACAUACCUUAAAAGAAAACCAUUUCACCAUCACUCACACAACCUUCGGCAAAAUAACACCGAAGGUAUCCUAUGAAUCAAAGAAGGCCACCACCACAUAACCUCCGUCAUAAACACGAAGGUAGCUUGAAGCAAGAAAAACAUUCAAAAACACAAAACCUUCGCAAACAAAGGACGAAGGUAAAGCUAAGCUUAUACUAUGUAGCAAAACAAACGACUUCAACCACACCAACAACCCCAACAACCAAUCAUAAAUCGACAAUAAAAGCAAACCUAACAAAGUACAGCCAAUCAAGGCAAGCAAGACUAUAAAACCAGGCGCACAAGAACCCCAACCCUCAGUCAAGACCAGUUCAAUGGGAACCAAACAUCCAGUGCAAGCAUAAAACACACAAAGAAAAAGAGCUAGGCCAGCUUGGAAGCAGGAGUUAGCCUCAUAGCUACCCAAAAUCUUGGUACUGCACGAAGCUUUGUAAAAUCAGAGCCACAACAUUGUGAUGAACAUCGACCAUAGGGUCGUGUACAACCACGACAAAAGCACUACAAGUCAGUAUCAGAGGUUUCUGAAGGGGCACAAAGUCUCGUAACAUCCCCUUAGAACCUCCGACAAUCAAACACGAAGGUUACCCUCACCAACACUCCACGGGAGCCGAACAACGGCAAAGAUGAGCCCAAUCCGACAAAGGCACCUUCAAACCAGAACAGGCGAAGGUUCUAAGGUCAAGAAGGAGCAAUCCUGCGCACAUAACACGCCCACCAACGCCUUUGCAACAUCAAGCAGCAAGUAUGCAUUUACAACAGCAAGACAAAGAUCCUUAGGAUCAACACCACUACGACGUUGUGGUGUGUUUAGCAAACAUAACUAAACGUAAUGUUAAAGAAUUCAAAGGUUAAAAUAAAAAGGCCGCAAAGAGUGCGAAGAUUGUAAUAGAAAGAGUCCUGAGGAAAAAAAUUAAUCUUUAUUCAUAUCAGCCAUGUGUACAAUGUAUUUACAUCAAAAAGGAAAACAAAAAUCUAACCUAACAUCCUUUGUCGACAAAACAACGAAGGAUCUAAGAAUCACAUACAAAUCUCGUACAUGAAUAACCAAAAGUCCUAAACUCACUACAAUAGUCACGAGCGAGAAAUUCAACUAAGUCGUCACCAGUGCGCGUAGGGCAAAUGUGAUGCCACCAAUCCAGCAACCAGCCCCUUGCGUACAGGUCACCACGCUUGAAUGUCACAGGAGUAACAUAACUUCCUUCGACAAAGUUUGAAGGAAGAACAUCAUGCCUAGGGGGAGACCUGACAACCUACGUCAAAAAGUUCGCACAAACACAAAUAGGUGAAGGCAAAACAAAACUAAAGCUUGUGAACCUCCACACGAUCAGGAUUAUAGAGCUCGGCCAUAAGAUCCGGAUCCUUCGGCAGCCAAGAUAUCCCAUCAUCUUCACCGAAAAUGCGAAGGAUCGGGUACGGAGGCUGCAAACAUAAAUCAUCUUAAGUCAAAAUAAUAAAACCAUAUAACCAAAAACAAAAAGUUAACAAGCGAGAAUGAAACAACAACCUAAGUCGAAGGCCAAGACCCUCGGUACGCAAGCGAGCGAAGGAACUCAGAUCGUUCAUCAUCGAUGUCAAAUUCGACAAAGUCAAACAUAUGUACCAUGCUCAUGUUAGGAAAGGCAGUUCGCCAAUAUUCCCACAAGUCACCCAAAACAUAAAUUCCAUUGAAAAAAAUGGAAAGUGGAGCUUCACAAGGAUCCUGCGCAGGUCCUUCGCUAGAGACCUGCGCAGGAUAAAGUAUAAAACAGACACUCAUUCAAGACCAAGCCAAUAUAUUACAUAUCCAUCAAAUUCUUACAAGCUAGUUAAACCUUCGUCCUUUUUACAAAAAGCGUUGCUAAGAAGCAGACACAAAGGCUAAAAAUGCCUAAAAACUAAAAAACCCUCACACCUGGGGCAGAGGAGGGGCAGGAGCUUCGGUUCCCUCGGGAGCCUUGGCACCGACUUCAGGAUUCUCUACAUCAGCCUGGGCCGAAGGAUGCACUCCACUAGUAGGACGCGAGAGCCCAGCCUUGUCAGCCUUCGCCUUUUUCUUGGCAAGCUCCUGCAAAAGCAAAUUCUUGAAGCACAAUGGAAAUAACAACACCCCAUACAAGGCAUAAUAAAAAAAUAUAAACCUCAGCACAGCGAGCCUCCACCAUCUUCUUCGCCUAAGCCCGUCCAAACCUAAUCCAGAACGAACUGGUAAAGUUCCGGACAGACUUGCGUAGGCCUGACGUAGCUUCGCCAACAUUUUCAGCUGAGGCGAAUUCUUCCUUCGCAACCGCCUCGGCGUGAGAGCAACCUCCGCAGUGAAGGAGCCGGGCGAAGGAGUUAACCGCAGCCAAAGCCCAAAAUCAAUAGCUCCCCCAACAAAUUCAGGGAGCAUGCUGAUAUGUGACUUAAGCCAUGCAAGGCUAACCCCAAAGUCACCGCCGGACGGAGGAGCGGAGGUGCUACCUCCGAACUGUGCCAGCGAGCCGGAGUAGAGUCCGAUGACAGCCGCAGCCUCCGCCUCCGCCUUUUGCAAGCGAGUAUGCAUCGCUGCCGCAGAAAUGCGCUGAGCCUCAAGCUUCGCGUGAAGGCGGUCAGCGAUGUCAUCAGCCUUCUCGGCCUACUGGACGGCCAAGUCCCUAGCCCUCUCCACCUCGGAGACACUCUCGCGAAGGAUGGCGGCCGAAGCUUCAGCCUCCUCCUUCUCCCUCUUGAGAACCUCAGAUCCGACCAUCAACUCAUCCCUCUCCUUCUUUAAAGCUUCAACCUCCUUCCGGGUUAAGUAAGGUCCUUAAGGUACUCCGACAGGCGAGCCUUUUCAGCCUCAAGCGUCUCAAUUUCCCUCUUCAAAGCCUCAAUAGCUUCAUUGCGGCUUAUAACCUCCAAGGAGCACCGCUCCUCCAGGACGGCAGCCAUAUGAUGACCCUAAUCAGAAUAACAAAAGUCAGAACCUCCGAGUGGAAAAUGUCGAAGGAAAAUAAAACAAAAGCAAAACUUACAAGGCUAUGGUGCUCAAACUGCAUGCGAAGCAAUGCGUCAUAGUCCAUAUCGCGAAGCUUGUGACGAAAACUAUCUGCAGAACAAAAAGCAGUAAGGAAAAACAUAAGAUAAAAUAAAAAGUAUAAACAACGUAGGCUAGAAAAUAGACCUCCGAUGAAAGAAUGAACCUCACACAGUGCGCUAGUCCAACCUGUGAUCGAAGGAUCAGAAGCACCUACGCAGUAUCAAAGCAUUUUUAAAGCCGCCCAGAGGUAACUAACUAACCUAAGAAGCAAAAACAAAAAAAUAUUUAAAACGUACCAAGACCAAGGACGUUAGCAGGCGAAGGCCUGCUGCCCAGUGCAGAUGGCACAGGAAAACGCAGUGGAGGAACUACAAGUCCUUCCUGCGCAAUGCUAGCUCCCUUGGCUAACUCCUCCACGCUGGCAAGCCCCACGAUAACAUCCUCUACAACAUGUGUAGGAUAAAGCCUCAGGCACGCAAGUACGCUAAAGCCAAGAAAUAAUGCAGUUAAACAACUUACCCUUGUACAAAGAGUUAAACCCUCCUCUAGCCGGUUGCGGGGGACCAGUGUCCUUCCUUACUCCCCGAGCAGGGGCAGACUCAGCUUCCUCGCUAGAUUUAGCCCACGCCUCCUUCAGCGACAAAACUCCUCCGGUAGGAGCCCCCCGCAGAGGACUCGCCCUAGGAGCCUCCGCAUCGGAGGAAUCCUCCCCAAGAAACGAAGCAAAAGGUAGGCAGGCGGACGACACCCCCUGGGUGACCUCGCCCUGGCGACCGCCAGAAGCAGCAGCCGCAUGUUCCUCCAGCGCCUCCUCUGCGCGCUGAGAUCCCACCGAGUUAGACUCAGCUGCGGAGGACCGAUCAGAGGAAGACUCAACAAGAGCCUAUGCAGCAACCUCCGCCUUCCGCUUCUUCGCCAGAACUUUGGUAGUUCCGCCUCCCCUCCUCUUCCUCGACUCAGCAGCAACAACAGUCUUGGAAGCGUCUUUCCUCUUCUCCAAGCUAAGGAGCAUGUCCGGAGGAACGACAUACUCAUCAUGCUUGAUCCCAAGCUCUUCAAAAACGCGGUUGAAUCGCAGCAUUGUCCCCAGCGUAGUCUUCCACAGGACGUACUCCUUCUCAGAAAUCUUCCCAACUACCUGUGAGUCGAAGCUUCGACACAAUCGAGGAAAGAUUCCUCCGUUUCGUCCUCCAGCAGCCCCCUAUUGAAUCGGGGAAAGGGGAUUCCCUCCGGAGGACCGAAAACGGGCACCUGAACCACCUCAAUGGUGAACUCUUCAUUCUUGCGGCCAAGCGGCCAGAAGUCAGAGGCCACCAUCUCCUCAACCAACUCGUGCCCGUCUGAGAAUCGGUAGGCCAGUGCGAAGGCUUUGUUGCAGGCCUCUCGUUCCUCCGACAUCUCCGAUGAAGGAUCCACCUUGUAGGUCGGCUUCAGUUCCUUCAUCUUCGACGUGUAGGGGAAAACCUUCUCCACAGUCCCAUCUUCUAGGGUGCGUGAAGCAGCAGGAGACUUUACAUAGAACCAAGCCUUCAUCCAAUCCUUCUCCCACUUCCCCUUUUGACAAUAGGAAAUCAUGCAACGGGCGUCGGGCAUGGUACGGCGCGGCAUGAACGCGCAGCUUCCAAACUGCAUGAUACAGUCCUCUCCUUCGGCAUUCUUCACCUUCUUCGGAUGCCGUUGAAGCUCAAAAUAAGAGCAAAAAGUGUCAAUGUAGGGCACGGCUCCGUAGGACUCACAAGCCCAAGCAAACUUGCUAAGGGUGAGAAUCCCAUUCGGGCUAAAGUGUUGUAGCUCUAUGUUGAAAGCCUCCAUCACCUGACGGAGGAAAGCAUACGGAGGAAUCUGUAAGCCACAGGUAAAAAAAUCCCUAAAAACAAUUGUAUACUCCUCCUCAGGCAUAAGCACAGUCUGGCCCGCAGGAGGAACCUUCGCUCGACCCUCCUUGAAAAAACCAACUUCAACCAUGUCCGCUAUAUCCUGCGGCCUGAUGGUGGACUCCCCAAACUCGAAGGUGAUGGCAGCCAUGGAUUCAAAAUCCUUCACACUUAUCAAAUCCCCAACAGAGGCUUCAACGUCAGAAAGAGUUUCCUCCAGAUCCUGAGCAGCAGCCACCUCAAGCAUCCAGUCUUCAAACCAUUGCAGCCAACCUCCGGCCUCACACUCAGAAAAUUCCUCAAAGGACCAGAGAAAUCUACCCUGGAAGGACGGGGCGUAGGAAGAAAAGCCACCGUAGAACCUCCACAAACACUCAAAAACUAAAUCAAACACGACCCAACCACAACUAAUGGAGGCGAUUCAGAGGCUAAGUAGAAAGUUGGUGAAGGAAAAUGAGCAGGCAACAAGCAGAAAAGGUGAGAACUCAUGCCUCCCCUCCACCCCCUUUUAUAGGGGGGCCUGCGCCUGGUGACCGUUGUGAUUCCCGGUGCCCAACGGCUAUAAGUGGAGGUCUCGCCGCGACUGUUGCGAUUCCCCGCUCCCAACGGCUAUUAGCGAAAAAAUAGGGAAAGCCAACGGCUAGCCGGCAAAUUUCGCCAUCCAUUUAACGGAUCUUCGCUAUCCUACGCCACUUGUCCGACGGAGGAUAAUCCCUCCAACGACUAUAAACGCAAAGAACUCUAAACAACAGCGCAAGAAUCUUGCAAAAAAACUAGUCACCCCCAAAAAAACAAAACAAAAUUUGGAAACAUCAAACAAGAAGCGGAGGAUAUCAAAAACCUAAGCAAACAAAGAGAAUUUAUGACUAAGUACAAGAAACUUUUUCAUACGGCCAAGAAGCACAUCUUGCGCACCAGGGGGGAGGCAGCAACCAUGCUCACAGCCUCCGCGGCGUGACACGUUUUUUUGAGCAUAUGGACCGUAGGAGUGCCAUUAGCCUAAAAAGGGGGAAACUGUUUGGGGCUGGACGCUUCCUUCCCCCUGGUUGCUUCGAAGGAUUCCUUCCCCCAGUUGCUUUGAAGGAUGUCCUCCGCCCGAGGAACCUUCGUACGAAAAAGCACGGAGGUUCGGGGCAAGUCUAAUGUUAAUGCAUCUCUUUUUGUACUGAGCAAAUGCAGGAAGAAAGAUAAUGGUGGAGGUCAUGAGCGGAGAAGGAAUGAACCUUCGAAUCCUCCCGCGACGAAGGAUGGCCGAAGGAAUGCCGGAGGACACAGUGGGGCCGGCGAGCCUUCGGACUUCGGAGCGCCUGUGCUAGGAAGCCUCCAGCAUGGCCAAGCCAAAGAACCUCCGGCGUAGAACCUUCGGCGUAGAAGCGUCGAAGGUUCAGCAGCCAAGCGAAGGAUUCAAGCCUUCAACAAGCUGAAGCCCUAGGCGAGGAGCACGCGAGGAGCUCGUAGUGUGAAAUUACAUAAAUGACUUAGGAUCAGUAGACUAUAACAUAGGAAUAUGCCGAAUAUUCCUCCACUGUCAUGGGGCUUUUUUGUAAUUACCUUAGGUUGGUUUCCGAGCCCUAUAUAAAGGGAGUGAAGCCACCAUUAAGGGGGAUGAGUGAGCAUUUACUGUUUGCACCUACUGUUCAACUCAAUGUUCACUGUUGAUUGAGUCUCUUACUGCAUCGUGUGGGAAGGUUCUCUGUAUGUUGUGUCGCUGGGAAGUGUAGUGCGCAUUUUCCCAACAGAGCCGUAUUGAUUUGGCACAAUCAACGGGGGCACUGGUUUUGAUACUUCCCCGAGCUGUGGGACCCCCUUUCCUACUCUCUUUCUAGGCUGUGAAGACUUGACCAGAGAGCGCUCAUAGUUUGAAAGUGCUGGCUUUUUCUAAGCUUCCAGCUGCUUCUUGUGCUGGUCCGCCACCUUCUUCCUCAGUUCCUCUAGCUUUACAUAAAAGUAUGACUUUUCUGGGUUUCGCCGCUCUUUCCUUUCCUGCUUUAAUUUAUCAAAAAAUUAUUUGACCUCAGCUUUGGAUGCAGCAAUUACCUCCUCUUUACUCUUUUCAUAAGAUAAUUUCUCUUGUGUCUUAGCUUUCUUUGCUGAGGCAGCCUUCUUUGGAGGUGGGACUGAUGACUUCGGUCAUUCUGGGGCGGACCGCUUCUAACUACCUCGCUUUGGAGGCGAUGGGACCGACCAUGUACUCUUUGGAGAGGGCGGUGCAGGUGGUGGAGGUGGUUAGGAUGAUCUUUUUGGUGUUGGAGAACACGGUGGAGGAGUUGGAGAACUCGGUGGAGGAGGUGGAGACCGUGGUGGAGGCAGUGGUGGGGUCGGUGUGGCCGCCACAAGUGUUGGAGGAGAUCCAGCAUUGUCACCGCCUGCAGCACUAUGAUGUGCUGGGGAAAGAACUGGACUUAGGUUGGAGGAGUCCGUGCAGAGAAAACAAUAACAAGUUCUGUGAGCAAACUUUAUUUAAAUGUAGUACAUAAUAAAUAAUAUAAGAAGUAAAAUCACGCACAAACCUAUGGUGAGGAAGAGGCGAUAGUGACAUUCCUGGAAUAAUUAUGAAGUGCUUGCGCAGCUUCACCUAAGGUCUUCUCUCCGUCUCCCCCUUCUAUUUCUAGAGGCACAUUGCCACAACCUUUCUCAACCCUAUCAACUGAGACGCUAGCAUAUCCAGCUGGUACUAGUCGAUUAUGGAUUCUUGGAGUUCUUGUUCGGUCGAUAGGGUUGACAACACUGAUAGCCACCUUUUUUUGUUGCAUUCCCAUCUGGUACAUGCAGCUCACAUGUAGUAAAAGCCUCUGUGACAUCAUCGCCCCAUAACCUCUCGUACGCCCACCGUGCUCAGGAUUUUCAAGCGCAUACGUGAGUUCAUCUUUCUCCCUGUUAGGCCUGAACUCACCAGACUGAACCGCCUAUCGUGCAUGGACUAGUCUCUCUGCUGUUCUAAAGAUUUCUUAGCCCCAAACUAGCGCCCUGGUGUCUGGGUCCACGCUUCCCCCAUGAACGUAGAACCAAUGCUUGGAGCGCUCGCUCCAAUUCUUUGCUAUUGUCUCGGGUGUGACCCCCCUAGUAAGCAUCUCCUGUUCCAUUCGGUCCCACUUGGGAACAACACUCUUAUAACCACCUGAUCCCAUGGCACUGGCCAGUGCUAAAGGUGACCCUUUAGCACCGGUUGGUAACACGAACCGGUGCUAAUGGGUCCCUGCCCCGACAGCACCUGUCACUAGCCGUUGGGCAGGACCCUUUAGCACCGACCCUUGUUACAAACCGGUGCUAAAGAGGCCUUUAGCCCCGGGCCGGCAAAAGACCGAGGUUUUUGGUGAUUUUAGGCAUCGACCAAUGCCUCAUUCUGUAGUAGUGUAUGCUGGCCCUUUCACACUGUUGGCCCUUUGGGCCAUCCCCUUUCUCUUCUAUAUAAGUGUAAUCCCUUCUGUAAUUCAUCAUCAAGAAAUAUACAAAGUCUAAUGGCCUUUGUCUAAUAUGGUAUCAGUCUAAUCGUAUCCCCUGCUUCCGCUACUUUCUACCGCCCGCUAGCCCCGAUCCGUGCGCGCCUCUCCGGCCGCCGCGCUCAGGCUGCUGCGCUCGCCCCGCGCGUGCCCUCCUCCUGGUGCCGCGCGUGCCCCGCCGGUCUCCAUACUCAUGUCUGCUCCUUCCUCCGACGGCGAUUAUGGCUCCAACACCUCGGCCAAAGAUGAAGUUGGGCACAGCGGUGCGAAACAACUUUUUAGUGCCUUCUUGGUUUGGUCAAUCUUUCAUAAUGGCAUAUAGGUAAAAUGCUCAAAAUUUUAUUAUUCCAUAGCAAUGCACGGACAAGCUACCUAGUAGAUUAAAAUGAGUGUCGAUGUUUUGGAACUUCGGUGUCCUCAUCUUCUAAAAACGAGCCCAAUCUGGAUGGGAAUGGGGGCCACUCUAGACAAGGUAUGCCAUCGACUUGGAAAGCAAUCUAGAGACGAAGAUUCUACCCACGGACUGUAUAAGGUUUAAGGUGGUAUAGAGAAUCAUCAAUCAGUAUCUUUCUUGCUUACAUAGAUGCUGUAGAUUUGUAGACAGCUCAUCAACGCCGAUAUAGGGUACCUCAUGUCUGAAACAGUAUAUAUCUAUGUUUCAUGUGCUCCUCUGAUUUUUUUUACUCACAAAAUACUAAGUUGCACUGUCAAUGACAAAACCUACAACAAAGGGAUUAAUUCAACCUGACCAGAUGUCGUUUAGAAUAUUUCUUUAUUGUUAAACGGGACCAAGGUUCCCAACAACAUUAUGCAGUAGCUCACUUCUCCGGAGUGUGGAGGCAUUAAUUUGUUCUUGCCACGUGUAGCAGUAGUUCAAGACCUUGCUUGGAGGAGGCGUAGAGCUGAAUCUAUGUUGGGCCCGGCCUAUCCUCGCUAGGUUGCUUGAGCUUGCUGGGUUCUGUUGUUGGAUUGGGCCUUGUGCUCAUGACCUUGCAUUACAAUAGAAUUUGGUUGUGGGCUGCCUUGUCCUUGGGUUCAAUUUUUUUGUUUAGGGCUUAUUUGAAUGUAUAUAUAUAUUUCUCUCAAUUCACAUAUGCCGAAGUGGAUUUAAAUUAAGUUUUAUUCCAAUCCACUCCAACACUUAUGGUAUGAUAUAGAUACAUGUGCAUCCAAACAAGGUCUUAAAUAUGUCCAAUAUACAGGGAUCGGCCCCAAUUCCAUUUUAGCCGCGGUUGUAUCGGAUAGGAGUCUGUACAGUUUUCUCAUUUCAUUUUUAUGUUUGUUUUUGUUUCCCUUUCCUUCUUCAUAUAACCUAUCUAUUUUUAGAGUAAAGUACACUAGCUGUCUUUUGAACUUGUUUGGCUAUGUCAUCUUAGUCCUAAACUUAUAAAUCGACCGCUCAAGUCCUAAAACUUGGUCAUCUGUAUCAUCCCGGUUCCUAAACUCUCAAAUCACUUAUUUAGGUCCUCAAACUUGUUUGGUUGUAUUAUCUAGGUCUUAAAUUGGCAUAUCUCCCAUUUAGAUCCUCAAACUUGUUCAUUAUAUCAUCUCGGUCCCUAAAUACUGUGAACUUGUGAAUUCAAUAUAUAUUUAUAGAACUGUCUAAAAACUAUAAAUCUAAAUUUGCUAAACUCCUAGUAACAUGCAUUUUUAAAUUAGAAUAAAAGUAAUUACUAUGCCGUGUACAUUCUAUUGUUAACUCUAUAGUUCAAUAACUAAAUAGACACAUACAUUUUUAGGAUUUAUAAAAAAUAUGCGUGCAUAUUUAGUUAUUUAAAUAUAAAGUUAAAAAUAGAACAUACAUGGUGAAUUCUUUUAUUCUAAUUUAAAAUACAUGUUACCAUAAGUCUAACAAGAGUAGAUUUAUAAUUUUUGGACAAUUCUAUAAAUAUAUAUUGAAUUUAUAAUUUUACAAUAUUUAAAAUAUUUAGGGAACAAAAUGACACAAGUGAACAAGUUUAAGGACUUAAAUGGAUGAUUUGCAUGUUUAGGGACCUACAUGACACAUCCAAAUAAGUCUGAGGAUCUAAAUACGCGAUUUGCAAGUUUAGAGACCGAGAUAACACAUACGAUAAGUUUGAGAACCUAAACGGUUGAUUUGCGAGUUUAGGCUCUACAAUGAUACAGGCAAACAAGUUUGAGGACCACUAGUGGACUUUACUUCUAUUUUUAUAUUUGGUACUAUGAAUAAUUCUUGUAAGUUGAGAAGUUUAUCAAGAACAGAUUAUAUUGUUGCUAGAUAAGUUAUAUAUAGUUUUUUCUUAAGAGAUUGAACAACAAAAUAUUAUGUAUAUAAGUUAUAGUAUUAAUAAAAGUCAUUAUAUAAAAGUUGCGUUAAGAUGGGAAAUUGUUAGGAUAAAUUUAUCCACAGAUAAUUGUGAGCAAAUAUUGGAUUCCAAAUAUCGUGAUCCAAGUUAUACAUAAACUAUAAAUAUUGCAAAAUUUAUGAUAAAAAGUUGUGGUAAUAAAUUUUGUCCUCCAAAUAUAAAAGUUGUGAGUAUAAACUUAUAACUUUUCAAAAAUGAAAAGUUACAAAAACAGUUCUUUUCCGAAAAAAGUCAUAGAUUGCUUAAUGGCUCGUUGGUUUCUAAUUUAGCAGACAUUUGUUGAUUAGUGGACCCUGUCAACGCAAUACAUCAUUACUUGUGAUCAAGCAUAGCCGCAUAGGAUGCUAUCCUUUUGUAUUAGCAACUACGAAUCUUGUAUGAGAUAUUUCAGUUCUUAAAUGAUCUUAAAUUAAAAAAAUUCAGGUAAAAGCUUGUAAGGGCUUGUAAGUUUUGUUUUUUUUCAUGGAAAAAAAUAGCCCAUUUGCCGCUAUAGCCCGAGAUAGCUUGAAAAAAAUUAUGCCGCUAUUUGCGUUCAUGCAUAAUUUUGCUGCUAAAGUACGCUAAUUACGGUUUAUAAAACACUAAACACCUUAGUCUUAGCUCGCUAUUUAAAACAUGGGUUUUUUUUAAUAAAAGUCUAGCAGGGGGAAACUCCUCCUGUUUCAUAAAAAAGCUUUGGUUCUCAUCUAACACUACAACUUUAGUAUGAGACAUCUCUUCAUACGAGGUUGUUUUAAAAAUGUUAAAAUUUAAUUUAAAAUUCUAAGAACUUAAAAUGUACAUUUGGACCCCUAGACGAUGUCAAAUUGAAAAACAAAUAGCCAACUAUGGGUUUGUAGACUUGGUUUACCUUUACAAUUUUGAUAUAAAGUCUAUCUUUAUUCGUUUUCAUUUGAAAAAGGUAUGAUUUCAUAUUCUUGGCAGCUAUUUUCAAGGGUGGCUAACUUAGUCAAUUUUUAGGGAGUCAACCAUACUUGUAGUGACCCAUUUUCUGGAGUAAUUGACAUAAGCAACCAUCGCAAAAAAUAUGCUUCUUAUGGGGGAUUUUUUUAUGUCAACCACCCCUAAAAAUCAAUUUCUAGAGGCAGUUUAUAAGCUACAACUAUAUUUAUAGACACAGUUGACAAAGUCAAUUGCCCUUGAAAAAGAGAAGGGGAUUCAAUUAAUGUGGUAGUGUAGGUUGAUAGAGUCAAAACCAUAGUUAUUAGGACCGGACCGGCGGUCGGACCGGUAAAAGACCGAACCAGAGGCUACACCGGUCCGGUUCACUUAAAAGACCGUAUAUGCAAUCGAACCGUUAUAAACCGGUCGAACCGGCCGGUUUUUUGUUAAACCGGUGAACAGGCCGGUUCCAUACGAACCGGUGGGUUUUUGAUUUUUUCUAAAAUUACCCCUCUCUGCACUCAAGAUAACCUUAUCUACUUAGGGGCAAUGAUGUACAUUGGUAAAAAUGAGUCGUUUAGGGUUGUUUGCUAGCUGAGGGAGGGGAAAAAUUUACUCCUAUCCUUUUCACGGUCAUUCUGGGUGGCGGCGGCUCUGCUCCUCCAGGCAGCGGCGCUCGCGUUGCCGGGGGCUCGGUCCGUCGGUCGCGGCCAGCGGGUAGCUGCGGCAGGCCACUACGGGGAAGGACCGAAGGAGUGGCCGUGGCGCAGUGGGCAAGGAACAGCCUCGUUAGGCAGAUCCUGCACGGCUGCACCCACAGCAUCGAGCAAGCAGCCAAGGACAAGCCGAUAAGGACAAGGAGGCAAGGCAACAGGCAGAUCCAGGUUCCGACUUCCUGAUACUCUGAUAGCUAUGACGUUGUGUUGCUGCUCUAUUUUUUUUUCAAUCUUUAGCAUCCAGAUUCCAGACACCUCCACUCCACGACAUGGCUACUAAUGGUGAGCUUGUGUUAAACUGUUAGCUGUUAACACUAUAUGGCUGUAUUUAUUUGGUAUUUGUCUAGUGGAUUUUUUUAGAUAUAUCCAAUAAGAUUUGUUAGAUUAUUCAGUAAGAUUUUUUAGAUGCAUUUAGUAAGAUUUGUUAGAUAUAUUCAGUAAGAUAUAUGGCUUGCAUUGCUUUGUUAAUUGUCUGAUAGAAAAGAAACAUGCAUGGCUCUGAUUAUUGAUUAAUUGACUGUCUGCACUGAGUAUCCAAUGCAGUGAUGAUAAUGUCUCUUGUUACUUGUGAAAUCAGUUAGCGUGCAUUUGAUAUUUUGUAUUCAAGAACCAGUGAGGUUGUGUAUGCAACUAUACACUAUGCAGUACUAACUAUGUAUGAAGCUGAAACUUAUGUUAUCGAUAUCACACACUUUAUCUUUAUGUUUUCAGUUAAGAACAUGUCAUUCUAUAUAUAUGUAUGAAUCUUAUAUCUAUGCAAUUAAAUUUGUAUUAUUUAUCAUCUAUUGAUUAUUAAUUAUAGCAUACAUAUAUAUACCGGUUCAAACUUUCUGUGACCGGUUCAAUUUGUCCGGUCCAAAAUAAUUGAACCGGCGGUUCAACCGGGUUUAAACGGUUGGACCAGUGAACCAGUGAACCGAUGGCCUCGCCGGUUCGAUCUCCGGUCCGGUCCUAAUAACUAUGGUCAAAACCUAUUAACCCAAUGAACAAGAUAGGUACACUCAAUCAGUACAUAACAACAAUUUUUUAAAUCUGUUUAUCUACUUUUUUUUCUCAAAGUAUGAUCCAUGAUGAUUUGUUAAGCAUGUUAGUCCUGGAAUUAAACAAAUGAAAAUCAUAUUUUUUUAAAUAUGAAAUAGAUAAAACUAAAACUAUUGUUCACUUCUUAACUCACUUUAUUCAUCAUAUUUUGAAGAUGAAAAGAGAUAAAUUUAAAAUUAAGGUUCACUUGUCCACUGAUUUAGUUUGAUGCAUGAAAUAAUAUAUUGUUGAUAGUUUUACUUUUGUAUAUUAAUUAUCUUUUUGAAAAGUACUCCCUCCGUGGUAAUAUAUAAGAUGUAACCACUUUUUAUCCAUAUCCCGUAAUAUAAGAUAUGCUCUCUGUAUAGACAUGUACAUUGAUCCAAUAGUACUAGUGUUGAGAGAGAAAACUAAAUGUGUUACUUGAUGUUUGAAUCAGAGGUGGUUACACCUUAUAUACUGGACGGAGGAGUACCAAUAGUAUUUAUGGUUUAUGAUAUAAAAAAAAAGAAAAAUUUGGAUUGACCAUCACAACAUCGAGGCUAUAUAGCCCAUAGCUUUUAACUGAAAUAGAUAAACCCAUAUAUAGCCUCCUUUUAAAUUGACCUUGAGGUGAGGAGGCCAAGUGUAAGGUCAAAUCUAGACUGGCCAUUCCCUGAUUCCCAUAGCUAGGUUUGGCAGACCUCAGCAGACAAGGUUAAUUAGAUCCACCCCUGAGCUUUCGAGGAGGCUGGAUGAUCAAUGCAGGGCAGAAGGAAGGCGGCCGGGGGCGGUCCGGACGUCUGGGUCAGUAGCAGGAUGGGGUUGACAGGCUAACAGCUAAGGCAGCAAAAGAGCAGGGCGUCGUGUUGCGUUAGAGUUGCAAUGGUUGAGCUGGCGACCGCCGACCGGCGAGGCCACCUGCGCCGCCACCGGGAUGACUGGAGUUGAACUCGGCGGGGGAGCUCAACCGGCCGGCGUUGUUGCGAAUAUCAUGGUGCGCGGGAGGUUGAAGAAGGUCAUGUUCGCUUGUGUUUUUCUCUCGUAACAAAUCAGUGAAUAGUACUUUUCAGUUAUAUUUUUUUAGACAAAAGAACAAACUGGAAAGCGCUUUAAUCAUAUAUUGUUGAUAUGUACGUGAUCUAGCGGUUGAUGAACGUCGCUCCAAAUAAUGUUGGUAACUCUAUACACCUGAAUUUUAGCACCUCCUCUCUAAUUAUCUGAUAACUAGAAUAUAUACUGAACGCCAUGCGUACAUGCGAAGAGUAACUUAAUGCCUUGUUUGAAUUUGGACAGGCAAAAACAAGUAUGGACAACAGGGAAAAAGGAAAAUGCAUACGUAGAUAUAUACGUACUAGUUUGUAGCCAUGUAGUACAUGAUUAAAUCUCAACACCCAACCAGUAGCGCUGACAGAAACAAGCGCGAGAUUGCCCGUGCAUUUAGUAAGACCGUCCAACGACCAUUUCAGUAUUUCACUAGCAAAGUAUAGUAAUUAGCAAUGAACGCAUCAUCUCUUAUUACAUCAGCAACAACGACAAGAAAGCAAGCAUAUCACUACUGAGCCAGACAACGAGACGACGGCAUGGCAUCACGGAGUGCAUCAUCUUGGGAAGACGACGACGCAGAAACGAAGGCACCGCUGAGGACAUACUCGUCUGGACCUCCACACCAUGCAUAUACAGCAGACUUAAUUAUUUAUAAGAAACACUACGUACGUUAAACGGUGAUGCAUGCAUGAUAAGAGGCCGGCCCGGCCGGUCUGCUAGUAGUGGCAGGCGUAGUUGGCCUUCUUGAACAUGGCGGCCUGCGCGACGGCGGCGGCCUUGGAUGUGAGGCCGACGGCGAUGCAGUCCUUGACCUGCUGCGUGCUGUAGGCGAACUGCUGCUUCUUGGCGGCGACGGAGUUGAGGUAGGCGGCGGCGCCCUCGCGGAGGAGGUCGCCGUAGCAGUCGCUGCGGGUGUUGCACAGCGCGUCCUGCAGCGUCUGCACCUUGCUCCCGAAGAAGGCGCUGCACACGUCGCCCAGGGACCCCAGGAUGCUGCCCAGCGACCCGAUGCACGAGAUGAUCGCGUCCGGGUGGCUCUUCCAGUAGCUGCAAAUUAAAGUACGUACUCAACAAAUAAAAUUUCAUCUUCAUAUUAGUGGGUGCACGUACGUCGUUUCAAAUAAGCACGAAAUUUAUAUAUAUCUCGAUGCAUGCAUGUGUGUACUAUAUAUAUAAAGCUCGGUUCUUUGCUUCUUACUCGCAGGUCCCGGUGCCAGAGUAGGCGGGCGUGUAGCCACCGCCGCCGCCUCCGUACCCGCUGCCACCGCCGCCACCUCCGUACCCGCCAUACCCACCACCGCCACCGCCGCCACCAUACCCGCCGCCGCUGCCACCUCCUCCGUACCCACCGCCACCGUCUGUUUGGACAACAAAUUAAACAACAGACAGCACGGCGCAUGAUUAUAUAUUACUAGCUAGAGAAAAGGAAGCAUAUGUAUAUAGCAGAUUGAGAGACGCAGCACGUACACUUCUGUUCAGCAACGUGAUCGCCGCCCUGCAGGCCCCUACUGCCUGAGCACCGAGAGGCGGCUACGCCCACCAAGAGGACGGCGACAAGGAGAACCUUGCCGCUCAUCUUGCUAGGUACCUCUCGCUCUCCUGAUCUCCUCCUGUAUGUUUUUCAGAUCGAAAAAGACUACCAAUAACUGGAAGAGAACGAAAGAGAAGAGCACCGGCAGAUGCUGAACGAAGCGAGUGUGCACUGGGACACUGAACCCGCAGGCCGGGUUUAUAUAGAGGCGCGCUGGAUGGCGCCGGGCACCACCGGCACCACCUGCACUUGAGCCGUGCCGCCGUUGCAUGCGCCGUGCGGUCCUGGCACACUGCCACGGCUUUGUAGAGUAGUUGGCUGCCACUGAAUGCCUACUUCCAUCCAUCCAGCUCGAUCAAUGCUACGGCCACGGGUGACGGAUUCUCCUGGAUCUUAAGGGCAAAUGACUUGUUGGCUGAAUGAACCUGCUGAGAGCCAAUUCUGUGACUUGGCGUCUGAGUCUGUCAGUGUACCGAUUCAGACAAUCAGUAACAUUGAGAUAAAUAGAAGAGGCAUGCAUGUGCAGUCAAUACUGUAACUACAUAUAUGCCUGGGAAAUUUAAGUUCAUGUGUAAAAAAUGCUGGUAAUAACUUUUGUAAUGGAGUACAAUGCAGGUGUUGC